GAUGAACGCUGGCGGCGUGCCUAAUACAUGCAAGUCGAGCGAACAGACGAGGAGCUUGCUCCUCUAACGUUAGCGGCGGACGGGUGAGUAACACGUGGAUAACCUACCUAUAAGACUGGGAUAACUUCGGGAAACCGGAGCUAAUACCGGAUAAUAUAUUGAACCGCAUGGUUCAAUAGUGAAAGACGGUUUUGCUGUCCCUUAUAGAUGGAUCCGCGCCGCAUUAGCUAGUUGGUAAGGUAACAGCUUACCAAGGCAACGAUGCGUAGCCGACCUGAGAGGGUGAUCGGCCACACUGGAACUGAGACACGGUCCAGACUCCUACGGGAGGCAGCAGUAGGGAAUCUUCCGCAAUGGGCGAAAGCCUGACGGAGCAACGCCGCGUGAGUGAUGAAGGUCUUCGGAUCGUAAAACUCUGUUAUUAGGGAAGAACAAAUGUGUAAGUAACUAUGCACGUCUUGACGGUACCUAAUCAGAAAGCCACGGCUAACUACGUG
rnacentral:rRNA from 1 species